rnacentral:rRNA from 1 species
AGAGGGAAACAACCCAGACCGCCAGCUAAGGUCCCAAAGUCAUGGUUAAGUGGGAAACGAUGUGGGAAGGCCCAGACAGCCAGGAUGUUGGCUUAGAAGCAGCCAUCAUUUAAAGAAAGCGUAAUAGCUCACUGGUCGAGUCGGCCUGCGCGGAAGAUGUAACGGGGCUAAACCAUGCACCGAAGCUGCGGCAGCGACACUAUGUGUUGUUGGGUAGGGGAGCGUUCUGUAAGCCUGUGAAGGUGGCCUGUGAGGGUUGCUGGAGGUAUCAGAAGUGCGAAUGCUGACAUAAGUAACGAUAAAGCGGGUGAAAAGCCCGCUCGCCGGAAGACCAAGGGUUCCUGUCCAACGUUAAUCGGGGCAGGGUGAGUCGACCCCUAAGGCGAGGCCGAAAGGCGUAGUCGAUGGGAAACAGGUUAAUAUUCCUGUACUUGGUGUUACUGCGAAGGGGGGACGGAGAAGGCUAUGUUGGCCGGGCGACGGUUGUCCCGGUUUAAGCGUGUAGGCUGGUUUUCCAGGCAAAUCCGGAAAACCAAGGCUGAGGCGUGAUGACGAGGCACUACGGUGCUGAAGCGACAAAUGCCCUGCUUCCAGGAAAAGCCUCUAAGCAUCAGGUAACAUCAAAUCGUACCCCAAACCGACACAGGUGGUCAGGUAGAGAAUACCAAGGCGCUUGAGAGAACUCGGGUGAAGGAACUAGGCAAAAUGGUGCCGUAACUUCGGGAGAAGGCACGCUGAUAUGUAGGUGAAGCGACUUGCUCGUGGAGCUGAAAUCAGUCGAAGAUACCAGCUGGCUGCAACUGUUUAUUAAAAACACAGCACUGUGCAAACACGAAAGUGGACGUAUACGGUGUGACGCCUGCCCGGUGCCGGAAGGUUAAUUGAUGGGGUUAGCGGUAACGCGAAGCUCUUGAUCGAAGCCCCGGUAAACGGCGGCCGUAACUAUAACGGUCCUAAGGUAGCGAAAUUCCUUGUCGGGUAAGUUCCGACCUGCACGAAUGGCGUAAUGAUGGCCAGGCUGUCUCCACCCGAGACUCAGUGAAAUUGAACUCGCUGUGAAGAUGCAGUGUACCCGCGGCAAGACGGAAAGACCCCGUGAACCUUUACUAUAGCUUGACACUGAACAUUGAGCCUUGAUGUGUAGGAUAGGUGGGAGGCUUUGAAGUGUGGACGCCAGUCUGCAUGGAGCCGACCUUGAAAUACCACCCUUUAAUGUUUGAUGUUCUAACGUUGGCCCGUAAUCCGGGUUGCGGACAGUGUCUGGUGGGUAGUUUGACUGGGGCGGUCUCCUCCUAAAGAGUAACGGAGGAGCACGAAGGUUGGCUAAUCCUGGUCGGACAUCAGGAGGUUAGUGCAAUGGCAUAAGCCAGCUUGACUGCGAGCGUGACGGCGCGAGCAGGUGCGAAAGCAGGUCAUAGUGAUCCGGUGGUUCUGAAUGGAAGGGCCAUCGCUCAACGGAUAAAAGGUACUCCGGGGAUAACAGGCUGAUACCGCCCAAGAGUUCAUAUCGACGGCGGUGUUUGGCACCUCGAUGUCGGCUCAUCACAUCCUGGGGCUGAAGUAGGUCCCAAGGGUAUGGCUGUUCGCCAUUUAAAGUGGUACGCGAGCUGGGUUUAGAACGUCGUGAGACAGUUCGGUCCCUAUCUGCCGUGGGCGCUGGAGAACUGAGGGGGGCUGCUCCUAGUACGAGAGGACCGGAGUGGACGCAUCACUGGUGUUCGGGUUGUCAUGCCAAUGGCACUGCCCGGUAGCUAAAUGCGGAAGAGAUAAGUGCUGAAAGCAUCUAAGCACGAAACUUGCCCCGAGAUGAGUUCUCCCUGACUCCUUGAGAGUCCUGAAGGAACGUUGAAGACGACGACGUUGAUAGGCCGGGUGUGUAAGCGCAGCGAUGCGUUGAGCUAACCGGUACUAAUGAACCGUGAGGCUUAACCUUACAACGCCGAAG